GGGUUGUGAGGUUAAGCGACUAAGCGUACACGGUGGAUGCCCUGGCAGUCAGAGGCGAUGAAGGACGUGCUAAUCUGCGAUAAGCGCCGGUAAGGUGAUAUGAACCGUUAUAACCGGCGAUUUCCGAAUGGGGAAACCCAGUGUGAUUCGUCACACUAUCAUUAACUGAAUCCAUAGGUUAAUGAGGCGAACCGGGGGAACUGAAACAUCUAAGUACCCCGAGGAAAAGAAAUCAACCGAGAUUCCCCCAGUAGCGGCGAGCGAACGGGGAGGAGCCCAGAGCCUGAAUCAGCAUGUGUGUUAGUGGAAGCGUCUGGAAAGGCGCGCGAUACAGGGUGACAGCCCCGUACACAAAAGCGCAUGUGCUGUGAGCUCGAUGAGUAGGGCGGGACACGUGGUAUCCUGUCUGAAUAUGGGGGGACCAUCCUCCAAGGCUAAAUACUCCUGACUGACCGAUAGUGAACCAGUACCGUGAGGGAAAGGCGAAAAGAACCCCGGCGAGGGGAGUGAAAAAGAACCUGAAACCGUGUACGUACAAGCAGUGGGAGCACAGGUUUACCUGUGUGACUGCGUACCUUUUGUAUAAUGGGUCAGCGACUUAUAUUCUGUAGCAAGGUUAACCGUAUAGGGGAGCCGCAGGGAAACCGAGUCUUAAUUGGGCGUUAAGUUGCAGGGUAUAGACCCGAAACCCGGUGAUCUAGCCAUGGGCAGGUUGAAGGUUGGGUAACACUAACUGGAGGACCGAACCGACUAAUGUUGAAAAAUUAGCGGAUGACCUGUGGCUGGGGGUGAAAGGCCAAUCAAACCGGGAGAUAGCUGGUUCUCCCCGAAAGCUAUUUAGGUAGCGCCUCGUGAAUUCAUCUCCGGGGGUAGAGCACUGUUUCGGCUAGGGGGCCAUCCCGGCUUACCAACCCGAUGCAAACUGCGAAUACCGGAGAAUGUUAUCACGGGAGACACACGGCGGGUGCUAACGUCCGUCGUGAAGAGGGAAACAACCCAGACCGCCAGCUAAGGUCCCAAAGUCAUGGUUAAGUGGGAAACGAUGUGGGAAGGCCCAGACAGCCAGGAUGUUGGCUUAGAAGCAGCCAUCAUUUAAAGAAAGCGUAAUAGCUCACUGGUCGAGUCGGCCUGCGCGGAAGAUGUAACGGGGCUAAACCAUGCACCGAAGCUGCGGCAGCGACACUGUGUGUUGUUGGGUAGGGGAGCGUUCUGUAAGCCUGUGAAGGUGGCCUGUGAGGGUUGCUGGAGGUAUCAGAAGUGCGAAUGCUGACAUAAGUAACGAUAAAGCGGGUGAAAAGCCCGCUCGCCGGAAGACCAAGGGUUCCUGUCCAACGUUAAUCGGGGCAGGGUGAGUCGACCCCUAAGGCGAGGCCGAAAGGCGUAGUCGAUGGGAAACGGGUUAAUAUUCCCGUACUUGGUGUUACUGCGAAGGGGGGACGGAGAAGGCUAUGUUGGCCGGGCGACGGUUGUCCCGGUUUAAGCGUGUAGGUGUGUGUUCCAGGUAAAUCCGGUUCACUUUAACACUGAGGCGUGAUGACGAGGCACUACGGUGCUGAAGCAACAAAUGCCCUGCUUCCAGGAAAAGCCUCUAAGCAUCAGGUAACAUCAAAUCGUACCCCAAACCGACACAGGUGGUCAGGUAGAGAAUACCAAGGCGCUUGAGAGAACUCGGGUGAAGGAACUAGGCAAAAUGGUGCCGUAACUUCGGGAGAAGGCACGCUGACAUGUAGGUGAAGUGAUUUACUCAUGGAGCUGAAGUCAGUCGAAGAUACCAGCUGGCUGCAACUGUUUAUUAAAAACACAGCACUGUGCAAACACGAAAGUGGACGUAUACGGUGUGACGCCUGCCCGGUGCCGGAAGGUUAAUUGAUGGGGUCAGCGCAAGCGAAGCUCCUGAUCGAAGCCCCGGUAAACGGCGGCCGUAACUAUAACGGUCCUAAGGUAGCGAAAUUCCUUGUCGGGUAAGUUCCGACCUGCACGAAUGGCGUAAUGAUGGCCAGGCUGUCUCCACCCGAGACUCAGUGAAAUUGAACUCGCUGUGAAGAUGCAGUGUACCCGCGGCAAGACGGAAAGACCCCGUGAACCUUUACUAUAGCUUGACACUGAACAUUGAGCCUUGAUGUGUAGGAUAGGUGGGAGGCUUUGAAGCGUGGACGCCAGUCUGCGUGGAGCCGGCCUUGAAAUACCACCCUUUAAUGUUUGAUGUUCUAACGUGGACCCGUGAUCCGGGUUGCGGACAGUGUCUGGUGGGUAGUUUGACUGGGGCGGUCUCCUCCUAAAGAGUAACGGAGGAGCACGAAGGUUGGCUAAUCCUGGUCGGACAUCAGGAGGUUAGUGCAAUGGCAUAAGCCAGCUUGACUGCGAGCGUGACGGCGCGAGCAGGUGCGAAAGCAGGUCAUAGUGAUCCGGUGGUUCUGAAUGGAAGGGCCAUCGCUCAACGGAUAAAAGGUACUCCGGGGAUAACAGGCUGAUACCGCCCAAGAGUUCAUAUCGACGGCGGUGUUUGGCACCUCGAUGUCGGCUCAUCACAUCCUGGGGCUGAAGUAGGUCCCAAGGGUAUGGCUGUUCGCCAUUUAAAGUGGUACGCGAGCUGGGUUUAGAACGUCGUGAGACAGUUCGGUCCCUAUCUGCCGUGGGCGCUGGAGAACUGAGGGGGGCUGCUCCUAGUACGAGAGGACCGGAGUGGACGCAUCACUGGUGUUCGGGUUGUCAUGCCAAUGGCACUGCCCGGUAGCUAAAUGCGGAAGAGAUAAGUGCUGAAAGCAUCUAAGCACGAAACUUGCCCCGAGAUGAGUUCUCCCUGAGACUUAGAGUCUCCUGAAGGAACGUUGAAGACGACGACGUUGAUAGGCCGGGUGUGUAAGCGCAGCGAUGCGUUGAGCUAACCGGUACUAAUGAACCGUGAGGCUUAACCUUACAACGCCGAAG
rnacentral:rRNA from 1 species